UACGAAGGGGGCUAGCGUUGCUCGGAAUUACUGGGCGUAAAGCGCACGUAGGCGGCUUUGUAAGUUAGAGGUGAAAGCCUGGAGCUCAACUCCAGAAUUGCCUUUAAGACUGCAUCGCUUGAAUCCGGGAGAGGUGAGUGGAAUUCCGAGUGUAGAGGUGAAAUUCGUAGAUAUUCGGAAGAACACCAGUGGCGAAGGCGGCUCACUGGACCGGUAUUGACGCUGAGGUGCGAAAGCGUGGGGAGCAAACAGG
rnacentral:rRNA from 1 species